UACGGGGGGGGCAAGCGUUGUUCGGAAUUACUGGGCGUAAAGGGCUCGUAGGUGGCCAACUAAGUCAGACGUGAAAUCCCUCGGCUUAACCGGGGAACUGCGUCUGAUACUGGAUGGCUUGAGUUUGGGAGAGGGACGCGGAAUUCCAGGUGUAGCGGUGAAAUGCGUAGAUAUCGGUGGAAGACACCUGUGGCGAAAGCGGCGUCC
rnacentral:rRNA from 1 species